CCUACGGGAGGCAGCAGUGAGGAAUAUUGGUCAAUGGACGAGAGUCUGAACCAGCCAAGUAGCGUGAAGGAUGACUGCCCUAUGGGUUGUAAACUUCUUUUAUAUGGGAAUAAAAUGUUCCACGUGUGGGAUUUUGUAUGUACCAUAGGAAUAAGGAUCGGCUAACUCCGUGCCAGCAGCCGCAGUAAUACGGAGUAUCCGAGCGUUAUCCGGAUUUAUUGGGGUUAAAGGGAGCGUAGGUGGAUUGUUAAGUCAGUUGGGAAAGUUUGCGGCUCAACCGUAAAUUUGCAGUUGAAACUGGCAGUCUUGAGUACAGUAGAGGUGAGCGGAAUUCGUGGUGUAGCGGUGAAAUGCUUAGAUAUCACGAAGAACUCCGAUUGCGAAGGCAGUUCACUGGACUGCAACUGACACUGAGGCUCGAAAGUGUGGGUAUCAAACAGGAUUAGAUACCCGUGUAGUC
rnacentral:rRNA from 1 species